rnacentral:rRNA from 1 species
GACGAACGCUGGCGGCGUGCUUAACACAUGCAAGUCGAGCGGUAAGGCUCCUUCGGGAGUACACGAGCGGCGAACGGGUGAGUAACACGUGAGUAAUCUGCCCUUCACUUCGGGAUAACCACCGGAAACGGUGGCUAAUACCGAAUACGACCAGUCUUCGCAUGAGGUGCUGGUGGAAAGUCUUUUCGGUGAAGGAUGUGCUCGCGGCCUAUCAGCUUGUUGGUGGGGUAAUGGCCUACCAAGGCUUCGACGGGUAGCCGGCCUGAGAGGGUGACCGGCCACACUGGGACUGAGACACGGCCCAGACUCCUACGGGAGGCAGCAGUGGGGAAUAUUGGAGAAUGGGCGAAAGCCUGAUCCAGCAACGCCGCGUGAGGGAUGACGGCCUUCGGGUUGUAAACCUCGUUCAGUACCGACGAAGCGCCCUGUCGGGUGGUGACGGUAGGUACAGAAGAAGGACCGGCCAACUACGUG